CCUACGGGUGGCAGCAGUGGGGAAUAUUGGGCAAUGGGCGCAAGCCUGACCCAGCAAUGCCGCGUGAAGGCAGAUGGCCUUCGGGUUGUAAACUUCUUUGAUAGGGGAAGAGUAGAAGACGGUACCCUGAAAAUAAGUCACGGCUAACUACGUGCCAGCAGCCGCGGUAAUACGUAGGCGGCAAGCGUUGUCCGGAUUUACUGGGUGUAAAGGGCGUGUAGCCGGGAAGGCAAGUCAGAUGUGAAAUCUGGAGGCUCAACCUCCAAGUUGCAUUUGAAACUGUUUUUCUUGAGUACUGGAGAGGCAGACGGAAUGCCUGGUGUAGCGGUGAAAUGCGUAGAUAUAAGGAAGAACACCAGUGGCGAAGGCAGUCUGCUGAACGGCAACUGACGGUGAGGCGCGAAAGCGUGGGGAGCGAACAGGAUUAGAUACCCGUGUAGUC
rnacentral:rRNA from 1 species